CCCUCUGCGUCUAGGGCGUCUAGGGCUCGUCCUAAGAAAAAUAAUUCCUCGAAGACACCAAAACAUGGGAAGAAGGUAAUUGAACACAUUUUUAGUUGUACAAUUGUUUGAAAAUGUUGAAAUCAAGUAUUAGUUGGGGUUUGUAGAUUGAUUAGUGUUUUUUGUCUAUUUUACAUGUACAACGGCCAUUGACCUAUGUGGAUUUGUUGAGUGCACCUGAUUCGCUCGUGAAUCAAGAGAGGGCAGAGGAAAUAUCCAUACCUAUUUCAUCAAUGGCGAACCCUCCUUCGUGCACUGGAGAAGCAUCUCAGGAUCCGAUACACUUUUGUUUGAUAUGUAAAAUUAAUUGUUUUUAACCUUCAAUACUUAUCAUUAUAUUAAUUAUAUUUAAUCUUUGAACAUUUUUUAUAUAGGUAAUAGCGACAGUUUCUACAUCGAUGGUGAGUCAUCCUCAGUCCAUUGGAGAAGCAUCUCAGGCAUAGACCCCUUCAUGGUAUAGCCAUAAUGUGGAUCCAUUUAAGUAUGUCUUCAAUAAACUCCUAUGAGUGACAAGGAGAGGAGAGCAAAGACAUUAGCUCCUAGAUCAACCGAUGAGAGCCGUGUAAAGCAUUGAAGAGACUUGAUUUUGAUGAUCCACCAUAAGUUUAGGAUCAUAUAGUGUUAGUUUUGGUCAUAGAAUGACCAAUAC